rnacentral:ncRNA from 1 species
UACCUGGUUGAUCCUGCCAGUAGUCAUAUGCUUGUCUCAAAGAUUAAGCCAUGCAAGUCUAAGUACGAGCUCUCGUACAGUGAAACUGCGAAUGGCUCAUUAAAUCAGUUAUGGUUCAUUUGAUCGUACAGUUUACUUGGAUAACUGUGGUAAUUCUAGAGCUAAUACAUGCGAGAAGCGCCGACCUCGCGGGAGGCGUGCAUUUAUCAGACCAAAAACCGGCCGCGUCUUCGGGCGCGUUCGCCUUGGUGACUCUGGAUAACUUUGCGGAUCGCACGGUCUAGCACCGGCGACGGAUCAUUCAAGUGUCUGCCCUAUCAACUUUCGUCGGUACGGUAUUUGCCUACCGAGGUUCUUACGGGUGACGGGGAAUCAGGGUUCGAUUCCGGAGAGGGAGCCUGAGAAACGGCUACCACAUCCAAGGAAGGCAGCAGGCGCGCAAAUUACCCAUUCCCGACGCGGGGAGGUAGUGACGAAAAAUAACAAUGCAGGACUCGUUCGAGGCCCUGUAAUUGGAAUGAGUACACUUUAAAAGCUUUAACGAGUAUCCAUUGGAGGGCAAGUCUGGUGCCAGCAGCCGCGGUAAUUCCAGCUCCAAAAGUAUAUAUUUAAGUUGUUGCGGUUAAAAAGCUCGUAAUUGGAUUUUGGGCGCAGGCGGCCGGUC